CCAUGCGAGUCGAGAGAUUUCGGAUCUCGGCAGACGUCUCAGUAACACGUGGAUAAUCUACCCUUGAGUGGGGGAUAAGCUUGGAAACCUGAGUAUAAUACCCCAUAGGCCUAGGAUGCUGGAAUGCUUCUAGGCUGAAAGCUCCGGCGCUCGAGGAUGAAUCUGCGGCCUAUCAGGCAGUAGUGGGUGUAACGGACCCACUAACCUUCGACGGGUACGGGCCUUGAGAGAGGUUGCCCGGAGUUGGACUCUGAGACACGAGUCCAGGCCCUACGGGGUGCAGCAGGCGCGAAAACUUCACAAUGUGGGAAACCACGAUGAGGGGAUUCCAAGUGCCAGCACAUAGUGUUGGCUGUUCACUUGCCUAAAAAGCUGGUGAAGUAAGAGCCGGGUAAGACGGGUGCCAGCCGCCGCGGUAAUACCCGCGGCUCGAGUGGUGGCCACUAUUAUUGAGCCUAAAGCGUUCGUAGCCGGUUUCGUAAAUUUCUGGGUAAAUCGGGCAGCUUAACUGUCCGAAUUCCGGAAAGACUGCGAAACUUGGGACCGGAGGAGGUUGGAGGUACUCCUGGGGUAGGGGUGAAAUCCUGUAAUCCUGGGGGGACCACCAGUGGCGAAGGCGUCCAACCAAAACGGCUCCGACGGUAAGGGACGAAGCCCUGGGGCGCAAACGGGAUUAGAUACCCCGGUAGUCCAGGGUGUAAACGCUG
rnacentral:rRNA from 1 species